CAAAUUCUGGAUUCUGGUUUCUGGAUAUGGGUUUGGGGGUCUGGAUGUGGGUUUGGGUCUCUUGACGAUGGUGGGUACGAGCAUUGAGACAUUAGAGGUGGUGGGUACGGGUGCUGAGACAUCGGGAACAAGGGAUGAAGCAUUGGAUGACGGAAGGGGGGGAAAUAAUAAUUUGAAUGGGGGAAAAAAGGAAAAUGGUUAAAGGAAAUUGGUGCAGGC